UACAUAGCAUCAUAAAUCAAUAUAAUGCUAUGUGACCCCGGCAGUGCUGGGAGGUCAGGACCGGAGCGUGACAAACGCUCGUCUGCAAGGGGCUGUAUUGUUAAAGCAACCCUCCAGGUCAAGAAAUAAAAUUCACAUUAACCAAGGAACAAACAGAACACUUACAUGAUGACCUUCUUGGUCCAAGAUGGCUGCACGGCUUCUACUACAUGAUCCAUGCUGUGCACUGACAGUCCAAGACACUUCCUCCUUGUCUCGCCGGCCUCUUAGAUUAGCCAGCUGUUCACACGAGAAUGCUGGCCAAUCCGAGGGCAGCGGGAAGUGUCUUGGACUACCAUAGGCACAGUGUGCAUUAGGUAGUCGGAGAAGAAGCGUGGCCAUUUUGGAAUUGGCAUAACUGCAGCUGAAAAGUUGAGAAGGGCACCAUGUAAGGGGGCAUUCACAGGGGGCACCGCUGCUGCUUCUGCCAUUAACCAGAGGGUCACUUUAAAGUCUGUUGUGCCGUUGUGUAGAAAACAGUGGGGCACAUUUAUUAAGACCAGCGUUUUAGACGUCGGUGUUAAUAAAGCCUCUUACAUUUAGACCAUUUUCUACGCCUAAAACAGGCGUAGAAAAUGGUAAAGGAGACGGGCCUGCUGUCCUGUCCCCUUCCAUGACACGCCCACCAUUUUAGACCUGGCGUGAGCGUGGAAAAGUCGCAAAUUGCGUUGCCAUCUGCAAUCUUUGCGCUGCAACCUGCCCCAGAAAUGCACUUAAUUUAAGCGUAUUUCUCUUUGAUAAAUGACCCCCACCAGUGUUUUUAUUUAUAUGCAAAUGAUGCCUUCAGUGCACCAAGGGUUGCACCCUCAGUGUCCUCUCAGAGGGGUGGGUGGCAUCAGGAUCCUCUCACCUGACCCUGUAAACCCAUGCCUGUGCCGUACAUUCAACCAUCGGCAUAUGCUCAGUAAUCCUAACCAAAACUGGAAAAAAAAUUUUUUUUUUCAAAAUCGCAGCAUUCACCACAAUUGCAAAGAGUAUACAGCAAAAUAGGAGAUUCAGCUUGCAGCACCCAGCCUACGCCCAUUUCGUGUCCUUUCUCUUAGGGCUCAUGUUCACGACCAUAUGCCCUCCGAGACAUAUGGUCCGUGAGCGGGACAUAUGUCCCGGAGCGGCAUACAUCGUGCGCACAGCAUCAUAGGUUACUAUGAUGCUGUGCGCAUCGGGCCGCCCGUGGGACAAUUGUCCCGCACUCAUAUGAUAUUAUGAGUGCGGGACAUAAAAUCUAUCCUGGUUAGAGUUAUGGCUACUACUAUGACAGGAGUAUAUUCUCUUUCUGGGGUGUUUAGCCCUCCAAACGGUCAAUCCAUCUAAAUUCUGUUAGGAACCUGUUGAGUCUUGAGGGGUUCCCCACACCUGUCGGGACCGCCUCAUCUAGAAAGCGGUCCAGAGAGGGGUCUAACAUCAUGUUUAGGUCUCCCAUACAUAUUACUUUGGCAUGUGGAUAGGCAGCCGCAAAAAUAGCCGUCGAGUGUGGGGGGGGGAGUGAACAAAGACAUAUCUGCCUUCUGAAUCAAUGACUAGUUCCUUUACCUCCCAGGGUAGUUGUUUGUGUACCAACAGGGAUACCCCUCUUGAAGAGGAGGUCUGGUAAGAGUGUGCGGCCCACUGAACCCAGGGUUUCUUUAGGACCUGAGAAGUGCUAGCAAUAAGAUGCGUCUCUUGAAGACACAAGAUUUGAGGCUAGAGUUUCUAAUAAAAGCAAACACCAUAGAUCUCUUUUGCGAAGUACCUAGUCCUCUAACAUUGCACGAGAAGAUUUUUAGCUCAGCCAUGGAUUCCAGAACAAAUACAUGUUCUCUGGAGUAGCACAUAAUGAGUAGGUAUAUAUGCAUAUAACAGUGUUGUAUGGGUAACUAUAAUUAUCUGAUAAUGCAUAAUUAUCAUAAACCGUGAAAAAAAAAUAAAAAAAAAUUCUUAACUUCGCAAUUUCUGCAGUUAUAGUGUUGGGCCUGAACUGGUUUCUCAGUCCAGGGAAUUGGCCAGUAGGACCAGGAUGCCUCUGCCUAUGAUAGUGUGUGGCUACAGUAAUGAUAUCGCCAUUCAAAUAAGUGUAUGCAGGUAUUUAGGCCCUAGAUCUGUUCCUGGGUAGUGCCGAGAUCUUCUCCGUAGGGUCAGCCAUUCCGAGUCUUCUCCAUGUGAGGUGAAGAACACAGCUCUAUCGCCGUCCACCACUCUGAGUUUUGCCGGAUAACCCAUGGAGUAGGAAAUGUUGGCUUCUCUCAGGUGUCUCUUGACCUCCAUAAAAGGUGGCUCCAUGUUUCUGCAAUUCCAUGGAAAAGUCUGGAAAGAUGGACACUCUGGCGGUCAUACUUAAUUUCUUGUCAUCUUCUGGCUAGGGCCAGUAUCUUGUCUCUGUCUUUGCAGUUGAGAAACCUGGCUAGCAUAGGUCUGGGUGGGGCCCCAUGUGGGGGUGGUUUUGCAGGUACUCUAUGAGCUAUUUCCACCACAUAUGCUAAAGAGAAAUGUGCAUCUGGGAAAAGUUAUUUUAUCAAUUUUUCAAUAAACUCAUCUGAUGCCCGACCUGCUCUUUCUGGCAAACCGAUGAUUCUAAUGUUUCUGCAGAGUCUUUUCUAGGUCAUCUGCUUUUUGCUUCCAGAGCUCCGCUUUGGUGUAAAGCUCGGAGAUGGAUCUGGGAACCGAAGCGGUAGUAUCUUCUAUGUGUGAUAUGCGCUCUUCAGUGUGUUGAACUCUUUCUCGCAGGUUGUGCAAAUAUUGACGCAGUAGUCUCAGGUCAAUCAUGACUUCGUCUAAUUUCCCUGUGAGAGAGGUCUUACACGCAGUCAUAGCUUCCAAGACUUUAGCUGAUACUUGUUUAAGAGUGAGCUCUUCAUUAUCUCCUUCAGGAGGAUUUGUAGAGGCCGGAGCAUCUGAAGCGGUGCUUGCCCUGGUAUGCACAUUCCGCUGUGGUAAAGGUGACCGUGCACCGUCAUCUGGUUGUCUGGCAAAUUCUCUACAUUUUUCAGCGGCGCUUUGCGUUUUUUGCGGCCCCAUAUAUCAAGAUAAUGUGCAGGUGAAGCUGGAUCCAGUACUUUAGGUGGUGCUCUAUAUUGUCUUGUGUAGUAAGACUGUCAGAAUUGCCAGGGGAUAUUAUCCUGGAGUUGUCUUAUGCCUCUGUGACUACCCUUCAAACUGUAUAUCAGGCUAGCUAGCCCCCAGUUGUUCAUCCAGGGAUUAUACACAUAGGAUUGUGUCUACACUUAAUAGGGAGGUGGUAAACGACUUGGUGCUGCAGGAGCCUAUUAUGCUCUGUGCUCCUUCCUCUAGCCGCAGGUGAACCACCAAAAUGGCCGACUUGUGGGAAACUGAGGGGACCUUCAGGGUAUGCAGGGUUCUCUCCUACUGCUCUGAGUAUUUUGUCUCCCGCCGCCCGCUCCUCUACCUGUACACCUCACCAGGUCUGGUGUGUUCAAUUACAUCUCAGGUCUGCCGCUUGUUGUGCGCUCGCUGCUCACGUGGUCCUGCUCCCCACACAGCUCCCGAUGCAGAUCUCCCGGCGCUUUCCGCAGGAAAUGUCCGAUAAGCGACUUCUUCUGUAUUCAGUAGGGCUUAGUCAGGGGUCUUCCUUUGCCUUUUAAAUGGCCUGUUAAAACCAGGAUUUGUCCAGAAUUGUAGCUCCAGCCACGGAGCUUCACUAGCAUACGUCCAGCCAUCUUGGCUGCUGGCCACGUCCCUCCUUUUUAAGUUUUAGAAGUUCUAAAUGACAUAGCUGUGUGGUCAAAAGCUCACACGAC